CCUACGGGAGGCUUCAGUGGGGAAUAUUGCACAAUGGGCGCAAGCCUGAUGCAGCCAUGCCGCGUGUGUGAAGAAGGCCUUCGGGUUGUAAAGCACUUUCAGCGGGGAGGAAGGCGUUAAGGUUAAUAACCUUGUCGAUUGACGUUACCCGCAGAAGAAGCACCGGCUAACUCCGUGCCAGCAGCCGCGGUAAUACGGAGGGUGCAAGCGUUAAUCGGAAUUACUGGGCGUAAAGCGCACGCAGGCGGUCUGUCAAGUCGGAUGUGAAAUCCCCGGGCUCAACCUGGGAACUGCAUUCGAAACUGGCAGGCUAGAGUCUUGUAGAGGGGGGUAGAAUUCCAGGUGUAGCGGUGAAAUGCGUAGAGAUCUGGAGGAAUACCGGUGGCGAAGGCGGCCCCCUGGACAAAGACUGACACUCAGGUGCGAAAGCGUGGGGAGCAAACAGGAUUAGAUACCCUAGUAGUC
rnacentral:rRNA from 1 species